rnacentral:lncRNA from 1 species
GAGAGACAAAGAAGGAGAAAACUGGAAAACUCCUGGAAUGUAAGAUAGAUGAAGCCUUCCCAGGAGCUCAAGGGUAAAAUGAAAGCCUUGCAGGAAUAUUUCCAAAAAUUACAGGAGUGCAGACAGAAGGAGCAUCAGCUUCUCAGAGCAGACCUGGAGAUGAACCAAGGAAAGGAGGGGAACUUUGCAAGGGUCCUGUUAUCUAGGAAGGAUAAAGAAAUCCAUAUACACUCCCAAAGAAUUCAGACUCUGCAAAAAGAUGUACAAGAAUGGCCAGGGACCACAAAGUCUGAGCUUGAAUUUCUCAGAGCAUACCUGGAGAAGAACCAAGGAAAGGAAGAGGAGGAAAUUUCAAGGGCCCUGGUAUCCAGCAUGACUUUGAAAUUCCAGCAGCUCUUUCAAAGAAUUGAAAGUUUGGAAGAGGAUUUACAGGAAUUGCUGAAGUCAUCACAGCAUGAGUUUCAGCUUCUCAGAGCAGGGCAGAAGUAACAAGGCAUGGUUGUAGGAAGGUGCAUAAGAAGACGAGUGGUGCAAUACAAACACACAGACAACUUCUGCAUGGAUGAAAUCUUGAUCACUGAGCAAAAUGGCAGUCUGGAAUCAAUUCACGAGUUUUUGGAGAAAUCAUUAUAAUGUGUUGUCUCUAUCGCUUUAUUUCAUACUUCUGGUUGUGGUU